AUCUUGUACUGAAUCCAUAGGUGCAAGAGGCGAACCAGGGGAACUGAAACAUCUAAGUACCCUGAGGAAAAGAAAUCAACCGAGAUUCCCUUAGUAGUGGCGAGCGAACGGGGAUUAGCCCUUAAGCUUCAUUGAUUUUAGCGGAACGCUCUGGAAAGUGCGGCCAUAGUGGGUGAUAGCCCCGUACGCGAAAGGAUCUUUGAAGUGAAAUCGAGUAGGACGGAGCACGAGAAACUUUGUCUGAACAUGGGGGGACCAUCCUCCAAGGCUAAAUACUACUGACUGACCGAUAGUGAACCAGUACCGUGAGGGAAAGGCGAAAAGAACCCCGGAGAGGGGAGUGAAAUAGAACCUGAAACCGUAUGCGUACAAGCAGUGGGAGCCUACUUGUUAGGUGACUGCGUACCUUUUGUAUAAUGGGUCAGCGACUUAUAUUCAGUGGCAAGCUUAACCGUAUAGGGUAGGCGUAGCGAAAGCGAGUCUUAAUAGGGCGUUUAGUCGCUGGGUAUAGACCCGAAACCGGGCGAUCUAUCCAUGAGCAGGUUGAAGGUUAGGUAACACUGACUGGAGGACCGAACCCACUCCCGUUGAAAAGGUAGGGGAUGACUUGUGGAUCGGAGUGAAAGGCUAAUCAAGCUCGGAGAUAGCUGGUUCUCCUCGAAAGCUAUUUAGGUAGCGCCUCAUGUAUCACUCUGGGGGGUAGAGCACUGUUUCGGCUAGGGGGUCAUCCCGACUUACCAAACCGAUGCAAACUCCGAAUACCCAGAAGUGCCGAGCAUGGGAGACACACGGCGGGUGCUAACGUCCGUCGUGAAAAGGGAAACAACCCAGACCGCCAGCUAAGGUCCCAAAGUU
rnacentral:rRNA from 1 species